rnacentral:rRNA from 1 species
UACAGAGGGUGCGAGCGUUAAUCGGAAUUACUGGGCGUAAAGCGCGCGUAGGCGGCUUUGCAAGCCGGAUGUGAAAUCCCCGGGCUUAACCUGGGAACUGCAUUCGGGACUGCAUUGCUAGAGUAUGGGAGAGGGAAGUGGAAUUUCAGGUGUAGCGGUGAAAUGCGUAGAUAUCGGGAAGAACACCCGUGGCGAAGGCGGUUCUCUGGGACGGUACUGACGCUGAGACGCGAAAGCGUGGGGAGCGAACAGG